rnacentral:rRNA from 1 species
UAGGGAAUCUUCGGCAAUGGGGGCAACCCUGACCGAGCAACGCCGCGUGAGUGAAGAAGGUUUUCGGAUCGUAAAGCUCUGUUGUAAGAGAAGAACGUGUGUGAGAGUGGAAAGUUCACACAGUGACGGUAACUUACCAGAAAGGGACGGCUAACUACGUGCCAGCAGCCGCGGUAAUACGUAGGUCCCGAGCGUUGUCCGGAUUUAUUGGGCGUAAAGCGAGCGCAGGCGGUUUAAUAAGUCUGAAGUUAAAGGCAGUGGCUUAACCAUUGUUCGCUUUGGAAACUGUUAAACUUGAGUGCAGAAGGGGAGAGUGGAAUUCCAUGUGUAGCGGUGAAAUGCGUAGAUAUAUGGAGGAACACCGGUGGCGAAAGCGGCUCUCUGGUCUGUAACUGACGCUGUGGCUCGAAAGCGUGGGGAGCAAACAGG